GCCAAUAGAACUACUGAUUGAAAUAGAAACUGGCCCUUAGCCUAGAGCUCUGUUGGAUAGCAACACAUUCCUUUUUCUCCUCCAUGAGCUCCUUGUUCAUUUGCCUUCCAAUGGCAAUCCAAAAGCACCCAUACUGUGCAAUGUCAUGGCCUAAUUCCUGUUCUGUGAUGUGUCAAAGAAGAGUCACUUGUGAUGGAAUGUGUUUGUGUUUGAUGCUACACCAACUCAUGCACAAAGGAGAGGUGCAAAAAAGGGGAACAGUGUGGGGGCAGUCCUUCAUGCAAAUGACAAAGACUUGAAAAGCUGGAGAAGCCACCUCAACCAAAAUUUCCUCUGACAGGCUUGGAUGUGUUGUUUUUAGCACUAGAUUUUUUUUGGUCUAGCCUGGAAGCAUCAGCAGUUGCU